rnacentral:miRNA from 1 species
GUGUGUGUGUGCGCGUGCGCAUGUGUGUGCGUAUACAUGUGUGUGGGGACACACACACACACACACACACACACACACACACACACACACAC